GACGAACGCUGGCGGCGUGCCUAAUACAUGCAAGUCGGGCGAAGUUUUUCUGGUGCUUGCACUGGAAAAACUUAGCGGCGAACGGGUGAGUAACACGUAAAGAACCUGCCUCAUAGACUGGGACAACUAUUGGAAACGAUAGCUAAUACCGGAUAACAGUAUUUCUCGCAUGAGAGAUAUUUAAAAGUUGGUUAUGCUAACACUAUGAGAUGGCUUUGCGGUGCAUUAGCUAGUUGGUGGGGUAAAGGCCCACCAAGGCGACGAUGCAUAGCCGACCUGAGAGGGUGAUCGGCCACACUGGGACUGAGACACGGCCCAGACUCCUACGGGAGGCAGCAGUAGGGAAUCUUCCGCAAUGGGCGAAAGCCUGACGGAGCAACGCCGCGUGAGUGAAGAAGGAUUUCGGUUCGUAAAGCUCUGUUGUUAGGGAAGAAUGGAUAUGUAGUAACUAUACAUGUAAGAGACGGUACCUAACCAGAAAGCCACGGCUAACUACGUG
rnacentral:rRNA from 1 species